CAAAGGAAAGAAAGAAUUUCAGCGUGUACUUGUACAGACUCCUUCAGACACACAACUUCCCUGAGAAUAAGAGCACCCUUCGAGGUCAUACACCUACUGGCGAUUUCUGUAGUCUCUUCGUACGCCUUCCAAAAGAUGAAUACACAGUACGACAUUAUUAGCUUGACUACGGUUUCGUAGAUCCAAAACACUACCUUUUAAUGAGAGUCUCUACCUAUAUCUCUUUGUAAAUAAAACCAUUUCAGUUUUAAUUUGGUAUUAACCUUUCGAGAUAUAUUUGCACUGCCCCACUCUGCUACGACAAUUCUGUCGCAAAGAAGAUUUUAUAUGAAAUGCUUAAUGUUUGAUCCCACCCCAAAGCUUUCGAGGGUCUGAAUCACCGCCUCCAGCCACACAUUAUUGACAGCCCCCUCGAUCUCGAGAAAGAUGUCUACAGCGAAUUCCCUAUAAUCCUAAUGAAACUCUCCUAAGGCACUUAUUCAACGGAAUGUCAGCAUCCAGGAGUAGUUUCAACAACUGUGGAGUGGGACUCUUCGCUAGAAUGCGCGUCAGACGUGAGGACUCGUAGUUGUGGCAGCGCUUCACACUUCCGCAGAAGGCUCGGAUUUGUUUAAAGUCAGCCUUGUGUUAUACAGCGCCCAUUCGUCGCAAGAACCGCACUGUGGGCUUUGUUGAAGUCUUCUGCUGCUCCAAAGAGGUGUCCCUUUGUCCUUCUGAGUUUUCAGAUAACGAAAGCUUUCUACGGUAGUCUUACACACAGAGCUGAAAACCGCGACGAACUCAUCAAUCACGCCCGCCUUGUUCUUGUCGGGCGCUGUUUUAAAAGCUGAUCGAAGCUUCCUGAAAUAAAAGUCCCAUAUUCCGAUUGGUAUUCCUGAAGUUUAUAUAAGUUUUGCGCUCUGGGCGCUUCGCAUCCAAGUUAAAAGAAAGAACUGUCGUCUAGAACCUUCCAUGCAAAGAUCAAAUGAGCAGUUUCUCAAGAGACUAGCGUAACGUCAAGAGCCUCCGCUCUGUUAGCAGUAACUCAAAUUAGGAAGUUUCCCCUAUUACAUGUAGAGAGGUUUUCACUACAUACGAGUACAAAAUCGAAAAGUGACUGAUCUCUUGUUUUUGUUUCGGAGAUUCCUCCGACAGUGUGCCUAGAAUUGGCAACCGUGCCGUUUAUUACGCCGGCUCUUCUGGGCUUGGUCUCUGCCUGAGCUCUUCUCAGCAAAUCCGGGGAUGGUGCGGCACAUAGGCCAAGACAAGCCAGUGUUUUCCGGUACUGUCUUUUAGCCUAGCGCUGACGACAUAUUCGUUGCUGAAAUUGGGUAAAAGGAAAACAGUAAGGCUGUUUCUGGCCAACAAACAAGCUCUGGUGAUACGUGUAUUACCUACUGCCUGGAGUGGUGGCUCUUUGUCCUUAAUUCAGAGAUGCCAUUGCUGCUUAGCCAUAGCUUUCAGAUAAGGAAAAUAUCGGCUUCGUCUCGUCCUAAACGCAGCGGGAGAUCGAUGGAGACCGCCUUUGCGUGCUGGAGAUUAACUUAAAGGAUCUUCAUCCUACAAACUCUUCUUCAGGAUUUAAAGGAUCUUCAUCCUAUCAGUCUUCUCCAGCAAUAAUGCGAGUUUCGCACCAUGGUCUUUACCGAACCGAUGCUCUUGCAAACGCUCGAGACUAAAAGUGGAUCCAUAAACAGGCGAUUCGAACUCCUUACUUAUCCGAGUGAAUAGAGACGACUUCCUUUUUGGCACCUUAUACUUUUUGCUCUGGCCUCACUGAAGGCAGCGUAGUAUCCUAAGGAUGACCUUCUGCAAGCCAUAGCUUAUGGCCUUUUUUUGUGGGAAGAAAAGGAUUGCAACAGCGCAAUAUCUCUUCGAUUUCUUCCGGGUUGGAAGGUUCGGCGGUUUUUCUACUAUUGGAGUUUCUUCUGGGGUAGUUUUUGUCGUGAUCACCGGUGAUACAUUGGCAGCCAACAUGUCAAAGUCUAUAGGUAAGUUAAUACUUUGUAUGUGCAUCUUUGCCUCUAUUAUGGUUUGCAGCCUUUUAUUCAUAGAUUGCACCAAAAUUUCCUGUUAACUCUGCGCUCUCAUAACUUCGUGUCUCCUUAUCCCAUAGAUGUUCAACCACGUUUUGACGUUGUACAACAACCGUUCCUUUACUACUACUGAUUCUGGUCAUCAUCCUAAAUAAAGCAGUAGCCGCCCUUUAAGGGGCUAUACCAGCGUAACACUUUCAAAAAAAUUCUUUGCUUUUUCGAUAGUUUAUAUGUAUGUAUAUUCAAAAAUAUCCUGUGAAAUCGGCAAGGUCGUAUCUUGAAUAGUUUUUGAAUGGCAACGUUCUAAACAGCGACCGCUCAGAGGGGCAAACAUAUGUAUGUAUGAAACUUUAAACGCGUUUUUCUCGAAACGACAUUUUUCAAAAUUGCUGACAUCAUAACUCAACGAGAAAUUGACCGAUCGACUUCAAAUUAAAACUACUCAUUCGACCGGAAUGAUGCCAGCAGUUCAAGCACUUUUUUUCGGCACUUCCGCAGACAGCACAUAACUCCGUUAUUUUCCAAUAUUUUUGUAAAAAAAAAAUUUUAACAUAGCUAAAAAUAUACUUUAUUACGUCCAUAGAACGUCGAAACAUUCAA